UGAUCGGGGUUGCGGACAGUGUCUGGUGGGUAGUUUGACUGGGGCGGUCUCCUCCUAAAGAGUAACGGAGGAGCACGAAGGUUGGCUAAUCCUGGUCGGACAUCAGGAGGUUAGUGCAAUGGCAUAAGCCAGCUUGACUGCGAGCGUGACGGCGCGAGCAGGUGCGAAAGCAGGUCAUAGUGAUCCGGUGGUUCUGAAUGGAAGGGCCAUCGCUCAACGGAUAAAAGGUACUCCGGGGAUAACAGGCUGAUACCGCCCAAGAGUUCAUAUCGACGGCGGUGUUUGGCACCUCGAUGUCGGCUCAUCACAUCCUGGGGCUGAAGUAGGUCCCAAGGGUAUGGCUGUUCGCCAUUUAAAGUGGUACGCGAGCUGGGUUUAGAACGUCGUGAGACAGUUCGGUCCCUAUCUGCCGUGGGCGCUGGAGAACUGAGGGGGGCUGCUCCUAGUACGAGAGGACCGGAGUGGACGCAUCACUGGUGUUCGGGUUGUCAUGCCAAUGGCACUGCCCGGUAGCUAAAUGCGGAAGAGAUAAGUGCUGAAAGCAUCUAAGCACGAAACUUGCCCCGAGAUGAGUUCUCCCUGAGACUUUAAGUCUC
rnacentral:rRNA from 1 species